CGGAGGAUCCAAGCGUUAUCCGGAAUCAUUGGGUUUAAAGGGUCCGUAGGCGGUUUGAUAAGUCAGUGGUGAAAGCCCAUCGCUCAACGAUGGAACGGCCAUUGAUACUGUCAGACUUGAAUUACUGGGAAGUAACUAGAAUAUGUAGUGUAGCGGUGAAAUGCUUAGAUAUUACAUGGAAUACCAAUUGCGAAGGCAGGUUACUACCAGUGGAUUGACGCUGAUGGACGAAAGCGUGGGGAGCGAACAGGAUUAGAUACCCUGGUAGUCCACGCCGUAAACGAUGGAUACUAGCUGUUGGGCGCAAGUUCAGUGGCUAAGCGAAAGUGAUAAGUAUCCCACCUGGGGAUACGUUCGCAAGAAUG
rnacentral:rRNA from 1 species